GUGCUCGCUUCGGCAGCACAUAUACUAUGGAAUGAUAUAGAGAAGAUUAGCAUGGCCCCCGCUCAAGGAUGACAUGCAAAUUCAUGACGAGUUCCAUAUAGAA